AUGGCGAAGGGCAAGCAAGGGAAAUGGACCCACUGCCAGCUGAGAGCGAUAGCCACGAGAGGGCGCUCGCAGAGGGGACGGGACCUGCACCUGCGCCAAGUGAGGCUGCCGAGAGCAAGUGGACCAGAGGUGGGGGAGGGGGGGUCGGGGUGCACUCAGAAAGCCGAGGCUCAGCGACAGGCGGACGCGGCAGCCAGGGAGCAGGCCCCAGGAGGUGCACGCCUCCAGGAGCUCUGGUCCUCCGGGAACACUCAGCAGCCCCGACUUCGGUGGUGCGAGUCGCUGCAGCAAGGGAAAGACGUCCAUAUUUCUAUGGAAAAGCCCGACAGCCCAGCCCGAGCCAGGGACCCUGGUGGGCGGCAGCUGUGGCGUCUCUCGAGGGGGACACCAGGCCAUGGCCCCGGCAGCCUCGGCUUGUAUGCGAGUUGUCUGCUGGCAGCAGGGCUGCAUGUGGUGGUGAGGGGCACCACGCACCUGGCUGUAUACCUUUUGCAAUGUCCCCGUCCUGAGGAAAGCUGUUCUCGAGGCGCAGGUGGCCUGGAGAAGGGACCUGGUAAUAGUGUGUGUGGGGGGGGAGUUCAGGGUCAGCCAGAGAGAAGGCGGCCGUCACAUGGAGCCGGUUACGCCUCUGCUCUUUGCUGGGGGCCUGCUGAGCCAUAUCUGCACCCCAGAGCCCUGCGCCUGCCUCUCUCCUCCUCGCGCUGUCCUGCCCUGGCCCUCUCUCCUUGGCCUAGUCCCCCUCUCAGCUGUCCCCUUCACUGCCCUGUUGGGAGCUGGACCCCAGCCCUGUUCCUUGGCGUGCCGGCCCCGCCUCUGCACAGAGGACCCAGACGCCACCGGGGUCUGUGGGAGGCUCCCCACGCACCACACACCCACCAGGGCCACACUGGCCUCCCUGGGCUGCUGCUGGCCCGGCACAGAUUCGAGAGAUGGCGGCUCCGGGGAGGAAGGUCUGAGCCGGGUCCGCAUGGGGAUCCAGGUCCCGGCUGGCCCCGCAGCCUCUUCCACCGCCCCUCGCCCCCUCCCGCUUCCUAG
rnacentral:lncRNA from 1 species